CAGCCGCCGCGGGAAUACGAAGGGUGCAAACGUUGCUCGGAAUUAUUGGGCGUAAAGCGCACGUAGGCGGCUCCGCAAGUCGGAUGUGAAAUCCCUCGGCUUAACCAAGGAAGUGCAUCCGAAACUGCAGAGCUUGAGUACUUAAGAGGAUCGCGGAAUUCCCGGUGUAGAGGUGAAAUUCGUAGAUAUUCGGAAGAACACCAGUGGCGAAGGCGACUACCUGGUCUGGCAUUGACGCUCAUGUGCGAAAGCGUGGGGAGCAAACAGGAUUAGAUACCCGCGUAGUCCCUGUCUCUUAUAC
rnacentral:rRNA from 1 species